GCUAUUCUAGUUUAAAAAAAAAUGUUGUGUUGUGGUCGCAAAGAUAAACGUAAGUUUGAGUGGCA
rnacentral:tRNA from 1 species